UAAUUAGCUGUCAUGAUAUCCAGAAUAAUUUAUAGGAAUAACGUUGGGUGUGCGCAAUAAUAUAUUCUACACAAUUGUGCACACUAGACUCGGUGUCCAACCCGAGACACAAAAACCUAUGAAAACAAGAACUCAUUAUCUUGAUGCUUUCUCUGUUAAAUGUAACGAGACCCAUAUUAGAUCCAACGUGGAUCCAGACACAACUGUCUUCACCGGAGUAACGAAUGAGACACCAAAACGUUCUGGACAUUCCUGGCAAACACAUUUUUUCCAGCACUGCAAGUUAUCCAGUCCCUGCUACUACCGCGCCAUUCGACACUCUUCAGGACAGUCAUCUCUUUGAUACAGAGAACUCAGUGUCUCAACCCCACCGGAGGGCGCUAUCUAUCCACCAACGGCCAGCCCAGAACCAGGAGCUCCCAGGAGAUUACAGUAGCUCCGCACCCCACACGGAGGCACUCUAAUGGCACAGCGCGACCGCCACAGACAGAGGGACAGAGGCCUCCAUCCUCUUUGGGGAUGAAAGCAGCUCCUCUGACCACAGUGACUUGGACAGCUCUGUCAGCCCUCUGCCGGCUGUCUGCCCACGCCUACCUGCAGCCCCCACUCCACAGGAAGUGCCCACAGUCAGGAAACAAGCUCUUCUGUUCUUGAAACGAGAUAUGCUGUGGCGCCCUCUGUCUUCGGCAAGGAGGAGUACAACAGUGCCAAGACCCGCCGCCCAGAACCUAUCACAGCCACAGUUCAGCAGCAAGCCGGCAGUGUCAUCCAGUAGCAGGCCAGACCUUGUUCCUGAGGAGGAAUAUCUGAUAGACAAUUGGCUGGGGGGUGAUAUGGGCGAUUUUCAGCCAAAGAAGAAGAGAAGAGUGGGGGAGGAGCAGAAUUGAAGCUGGGACUUGACUACAAUGUCAUCAGGGCCCAGGAGUCAAAACAGUCACUCAACUAAGACUGAGAUGGUUAGCAGAGGGGUUUCUCUCUGAGGAAGACUGACGACGACCCCCGACCUUCCACGCCGCCCCAGAACCACCACAACACUCAGCAGGUCAGAUAGAUCAAGUGAGAGCUGACCUGAGUUCAAAUACUAUUUAAAAAUGUUCAAUACUUUGAGCAUUUGCUUUAGCCUGCCUGCAGUGCCAGGUGUGCAGGGUUGGGAUAGUAUGAAGCAGUUUUUAUCUCAAUAUCAAAUAAUUUCUGGUUAACAACAAAACAACCUUACCUGUGAUUGUUUUACAUUAAAAUGGUCAAAAAGAAACAAAAAUAGCUUCUAAGAUAUGAGCAAUUUCUCAAGCAAUAAUUUUUCUAGGACUGCCUGGGAGUGGUCUGAGUGAGGAGGGGGAAAAUGUAAAACUAGCUGUUAUUGGCCGUGACGUGUGGAACUCUCUUUCUUAUUGGUCUAUUAACUAAUUUACCGCCUGGUGACGUCACCAUCCAGAUCAAAUCCCAUCCCACAAAGAUAGCUUGACAUUUCAGGUAGUCUUUUCAAACAGCUCUUACACUAAAAGGGCGUUAUAAUAUUUUUCACAAUUUCACAGUAUUAUUCCAACCUCAUAGUGUGGAAAUAUAUAUAAAACAGAGGAAAAUCAAGAUUUUGACUGCACUGGGUGUCAAACUAAUUGACAUAAUAAAAAAAUCCCUAUCAAAAUCUGUCUGUUUAAGCUAGAGAUAUCAUUUUUUUGUUGUAUAGGCUCAGUCCACCACAUCCGCCUGUCGGCCUUCCGUAUCUGCGGUGAAAAGUGGCAGACAUACAGCACUGUUUGUCAGACCAGGAGACAUCCCGAAAAUCGAUUUUUGUCACAAACGUCUGGUUUGGCCUACUAACUAACAUACCUCUCUAUGGAAAGAUGAGUGCCACGAAAACGAUGGUGUUAUCCGUUUUGGUCUACAAGCCCCACCGGACUCUUCUGAAGUAGGUACCGUCAAUGUGCCAACUUUUGUCUCUAGUGUCCGAACCAUUUGGGCUAAAAAAUAAUAUGACCCCAAUCACAAAUAUUAUGGAUAUAUUGGAACUAGUGAAUACAUGCUGGCCUAACUUAAGGAUCUGCCCCUUUUUUCAAUUUUCACCUAAAAUGUCAUACCCAAAUCUAACUGCCUUUAGCUCAGGACCUGAAGCAAGGAUAUGCAUAUUCUUGAUAUGAUUUGAAACGAAACUCUUUGAAGUUUGUGGAAAUGUGAAAUUAAUGUAAGAGAAUAUAACACAUUAGAUCUGGUAAAAGAUAAUACAAAACAAAAUCAUGCAUUAUUUUGUAUUUAUUUCUACCAUCUUUGAAAUGCAAGAGAAAGGCCAUAAUGUAUUAUUCCAGCCAAGGCGCAAUUAAACUUUUGACCACUAGAUGGCAGAAUGUAUGUGCCAAGUUUUAGAAUGAUCCAAUGAACUAUUGCAUUUCUGUUCAAAAUGUUGUAUCAAAA